UACGUAGGGGGCAAGCGUUGUCCGGAAUCAUUGGGCGUAAAGAGCGUGUAGGCGGCCCGGUAAGUCCGCUGUGAAAGUCCAGGGCUCAACCCCGGGAGGCGGAUGGAUACUGCAAGGCUCGAGUCCGGAAGAGGCAAGUGGAAUUCCCGGUGUAGCGGUGAAAUGCGCAGAUAUCGGGAGGAACACCAAUGGCGAAGGCAGCUUGCUGGGACGGUACUGACGCUGAGACGCGAAAGCGUGGGGAGCAAACAGG
rnacentral:rRNA from 1 species